rnacentral:rRNA from 1 species
GACGAACGCUGGCGGCGUGCUUAACACAUGCAAGUCGAACGGAAAGGCCCAGCUUGCUGGGUACUCGAGUGGCGAACGGGUGAGUAACACGUGGGUGAUCUGCCCUGGACUCUGGGAUAAGCCUGGGAAACUGGGUCUAAUACCGGAUAUGACCUUACAUCGCAUGGUGUUUGGUGGAAAGCUUUUGCGGUUCAGGAUGGGCCCGCGGCCUAUCAGCUUGUUGGUGGGGUAAUGGCCUACCAAGGCGACGACGGGUAGCCGACCUGAGAGGGUGAUCGGCCACACUGGGCCGGAGACACGGCCCAGACUCCUACGGGGGGCAGCAGGGGGGAAUAUUGCACAAGGGGCGCAAGCCUGAUGCGGCGACCCCGGGGGGGGGAUGCCGGCCUUCGGGUUGUAAACCUCUUCCACCGGGAACGAAGCGGGAGGGAGGGUACCUGGAGAAGAAGCACCGCCAAACUACGUG